rnacentral:lncRNA from 1 species
GUUUAAUCCGAAUCAAAGGCUUUCUUUGGGAUUGCGGGAUGGUUGCGUUAUAUGCGAUAAGAAAAUACGUUGAAAAAAUAUUUUGUUUAUUUUCAUAUGUAAUAUUGUGUUACGAUGAGUCGGUUACAAUAUAUUUUCUGCGGUCCCACCGGAGAAGGCAAAAGUAUAUCCCUAUAUGCUUUUAACUCAACUUCAUUUUAUCUAAUAGCGCUAGAUAGAUUUCAAUAUCAAAUUAAGCCUAAUUCAAAUUUCGAUCAAAAGGUCUUUUUCUAAAAAGGAAAUCAGUAGAAAUAUAUAGGAUAUAU